rnacentral:rRNA from 1 species
UACGGAGGGGGCUAGCGUUGUUCGGAAUUACUGGGCGUAAAGCGCGCGUAGGCGGAUCUGCAAGUCGGGGGUGAAAUCCCGAGGCUCAACCUCGGAACUGCCUUCGAUACUGCGGGUCUCGAGUCCGGGAGAGGUGAGUGGAAUUCCUAGUGUAGAGGUGAAAUUCGUAGAUAUUAGGAAGAACACCAGUGGCGAAGGCGGCUCACUGGCCCGGUAUUGACGCUGAGGCGCGAAAGCCAGGGGAGCAAACGGG